rnacentral:rRNA from 1 species
AACGAACGCUGGCGGCAGGCCUAACACAUGCAAGUCGAACGCUGUAGCAAUACAGAGUGGCAGACGGGUGAGUAACGCGUGGGAACCUUCCCAAUGGUACGGAAUAGCUCAGGGAAACUUGAGGUAAUACCGUAUAAGCCCCUAGGGGGAAAGAUUUAUCGCCAUUGGAUGGGCCCGCGUCGGAUUAGCUAGUUGGUGAGGUAAUGGCUCACCAAGGCGACGAUCCGUAGCUGGUUUGAGAGAAUGACCAGCCACACUGGGACUGAGACACGGCCCAGACUCCUACGGGAGGCAGCAGUGGGGAAUUUUGGACAAUGGGCGAAAGCCUGAUCCAGCCAUGCCGCGUGAGUGACGAAGGCCUUAGGGUUGUAAAGCUCUUUUGCCGGGGACGAUAAUGACGGUACCCGGAGAAUAAGUCCCGGCUAACUUCGUGCCAGCCGCCGCAGUAA